rnacentral:rRNA from 1 species
UACGGAGGGUGCAAGCGUUAAUCGGAAUUACUGGGCGUAAAGCGUGCGCAGGCGGUUCGUUGUGUCGGCGGUGAAAGCCCCGGGCUCAACCUGGGAAUGGCCGUUGAAACUGGCGAACUGGAGUGUGGCAGAGGGGGGUGGAAUUCCGCGUGUAGCAGUGAAAUGCGUAGAGAUGCGGAGGAACACCGAUGGCGAAGGCAGCCCCCUGGGCUAACACUGACGCUCAGGCACGAAAGCGUGGGGAGCAAACAGG